rnacentral:lncRNA from 1 species
UAAAAUAUAGCAAUUUACCAUUUAAACCCAUUUUCUAUAAAAUCACACAAUUGAAUAAAACUACUCUAGAUAAUUAAGACGAUAAUAAGUUUACUCACAAGUUUCAAAAGUUCAGAUUUCGGGUGUACUCAACUUAGUGAUCCCCAAGCGUAAUUUCCUUGCCUUUGUCGAAAGGCACACCACCUUGACACAGUAUAAAAUCAAGAAAUUUACUACGUUGCCCUUAAAUUGAAAUAACUAAUUUAGAUCACUAAUGCAUGGUAUGAAAUGCAAAAGGUCUAAAUUUUGCCUAAACAUCGUAUUGACCUAUUUCGAUCUUUUACCCGAUAAAUUGAAAUACGCAUCCAAUUUACCUCCAAUUGAUCCCAUUUCUUUUACUAAUGCUUCAAAUCACCAAUGUCCAGCCAAAUAACCCAAAAAUCAGCAAAGCCACAUUCAUAUUCCUUCUUGGAAAAAUUCGGCCAAAAUGGUGCAUCAUUGUCACAAUUUUUCCUACUUGAUUUUCUUUCCAUAAUUCAUUAAUUUCCAUAUCAAAAACCAUGAUUUCAUAAUCAAAUAACCUAAAAUAACAUCACAUUCUUCCUCACCAUUGACUUGAAAAUUCAGCUAAGGCUAGGUGAUGGGAAAAAUGAAUGUUUUUCUACAUAUUUUGUUUACUAACAUGCUAAACUGACACUAAACACUAACAUAUAUCAAAAUCAAAUCAAUCCAACAAUUUUUUCUCUCUAGACCCAUAUGACCAGCCAUGAAAUCACCAUGAAAACAUGCAAUUUAAUCAUGGAAAAUAAGGAGAAAUGCUUGGGAAUAAGAAAACUCAAGCUUAAUAGAAAAAAUCUUACCUUUUUCACUUAAUUUCCUUGAAAUUUUACACUUUUUCUUUGAUUUUCUCUCUCUAGGG